UCAGAGAGUGGUGGAGCCAUGUGAAAUCCGUUACAGAGAGUGGAGUGGGGCAGUGGCCAUUGUCGUGACUUGCUAGAGAGUUUGGACCUGACGACUGAAGCUCGGUUGGGACGUCUAAUGGAGCAGAAUGGCUCUCUGUCUCAGCAAUCUGAGAGGAGCUCGGAUGUUUUCGAGGUUACUGAUGGGUUAACUGUUGUUGGAUGCCGUUGGUGCUGCAAAUGGAAGUC
rnacentral:lncRNA from 1 species